rnacentral:rRNA from 1 species
CGAAGCGUGCGAUUGGAUUGCACGUCUAAGCAGUAAGGCUGAGUAUUAGGCAAAUCCGGUACUCAUUAAGGCUGAGCUGUGAUGGGGAGAAGACAUUGUGUCUUCGAGUCGUUGAUUUCACACUGCCGAGAAAAGCCUCUAGAUAGAAAAUAGGUGCCCGUACCGCAAACCGACACAGGUAGUCAAGAUGAGAAUUCUAAGGUGAGCGAGCGAACUCUCGUUAAGGAACUCGGCAAAAUGACCCCGUAACUUCGGGAGAAGGG